UUGGGAUGAGGAAGGGGAGGGGGUUAGAACCAACUCCGCAGAGAUCAGGAAAGGUUAAGGGAGGGCUUAGCUGCUGUUUUUAAAUGUAGUGGGGUUUCUCUGUUGUUGUUGUUCCCUUUCUACAACUAGCUGUAACUUUACGGCAGAGCGCAUUAAAAUGAGCCACUUCUGAACAAGCAGUGCCCAGGCCCCAGGCCCUGCUGCGAAGGCCCCGGCAAAGGUCAGGACUUCGUCCGCGUGACGUUCCUUCCUGCGUUCGUCCGAGCGGUGCUCUGCUUCAGUUCAUGUCACAGAGGCAUUAGAAGGAUACCUUGCAUCAGGUCACCCAGCAGAGAGCAUCAUCCAUUCCUGGGCUCACCGAGGAGGUUUGCUCCUUCCAGGUGCCCUUAGCAAAUGACUCCCAAGGCAUUUAAGUGGCCAAAGCUCAUUGACCAAUGAGGAGAUGUGUGCUGUACAUAACAGAGUUACGUAGUUCCUGGGAUCAGGAGCGAAGGUUGCUUAAGCAAAGCUUUUGUGACUAUUGGCCUGUCGCAUCCAGAUUUCAAGACUGGAAAGCUGAUUUGCUGUCACAUGAAAAAGCUUGUAAAAAG